rnacentral:rRNA from 1 species
UGGGCUUGAACUGCAGUGGACAGUCCGUGAAAGCGGAUCUUCCUUCGGGACUGCUGUAGAGGUGCUGCAUGGCUGUCGUCAGCUCGUGUCGUGAGAUGUUGGGUUAAGUCCCGCAACGAGCGCAACCCUUAUCCUUAGUUGCCAUCAAGUAAUGUUGGGCACUCUAGGGAGACUGCCGAGGAUAACUCGGAGGAAGGUGGGGAUGACGUCAAGUCAUCACGGCCCUUACGUCCAGGGCUACACACGUGCUACAAUGGCCGGUACAAAAGGAAGCAAUACCGCAAGGUGGAGCAAAUCCCCAAAACCGGCCUCAGUUCGGAUUGGAGUCUGCAACUCGACUCCAUGAAGU